rnacentral:tRNA from 1 species
UCCCUAGUGGCUCAGUGGUAAAGAAUCUGCCUGCAAUGCAGGAGACACGGGUUCAAGACCUGGGUUGGGAA